AAACCCCAAAUAUUGUUUUUUAAUUUUUCAUUUUUUUUUGGUCUAACUAACUCCAAAAGGUUGGAAAAGAGUUCCUACAAAGGUUUUGGACAGUGAUUUUAACCCUAACGCCAAAAACCUUAAACCUUACCAUAGCCCCAUAACCUAAUACCCGGGUAUUACUUUUAGGAAGCCUGAACACCCCAAAUAUAUUUUUUUUCAUUUUUCUUUUUUUUUUGGUCUAACCAACUCCAAAAGGUUGUUAAAGAGUUCCUACAAAGGUUUUGGACAGUGAUUUUAACCCUAAUGCCAAAAACCUUAAACCUUACCAUAGCCCCAUAACCUAAUACCCAGGUAUUACUUUUAGGAAGCCUGAACACCCCAAAUAUUUUUUUUUCAUUUUUCUUUUUUUUUGGUCUAACUAACUCCAAAAGGUUGGAAAAGAGUUCCUACAAAGGUUUUGGACAGUGAUUUUAACCCUAACGCCAAAAAACUUAAACCUUACCCUGGCCUUAAAAUCUAAUACCCGGGUAUUACAUUCAGGAAGCCCGAAAACCCCAAAUAUUUUUUUUUUCAUUUUUCAUUUUUUUUGGUCUAACUAAAUCCAAAAGGUUGAAAAAGAGUUCCUACAAAGGUUUUGGACAGUGAUUUCAACCCUAACGCCAAAAACCUUAAACCUUACCCUAGCCCCAUAACCUAAUACCCGGGUAUUACUUUUAGGAAGCCUGAACACCCCAAAUAUUUUUUUUUUCAUUUUUCUUUUUUUUUUGGUCUAACUAACUCCAAAAGGUUGGAAAAGAGUUCCUACAAAGGUUUUGGACAGUGAUUUUAACCCUAACACAAAAAACCUUAAACCUUACCCUAGCCUUGAAAUCUAAUACCCGGGUAUUACCUUCAGGAAGCCUGAACACCCCAAAUAUUUUUUUCUUCAUUUUACAUUUUUGUUGGUGUAACCAACUCCAAAAGGUUGGAAAAGAGUUCCUACAAAGGUUUUGGACAGUGAUUUUAACCCUAAUGCCAAAAAACUUAAACCUUACCCUAGCCUCAAAAUCUAAUACCCGGGUAUUACAUUCAGGAAGUCCGAACACCCCAAAUAUUUUUUUUUUUUCAUUUUACAUUUUUUUUGGUGUAACCAACUCCAAAAGGUUGGAAAAGAGUUCCUACAAAGGUUUUGGACAGUGAUUUUAACCCUAACGCCAAAAACCUUAAACCUUACCAUAGCCCCAUAACCUAAUACCCAGGUAUUACUUUUAGGAAGCCUGAACACCCCAUAUAUUUUUUUUUCAUUUUUCUUUUUUUUUUGGUCUAACUAAAUCCAAAAGGUUGUUAAAGAGUUCCUACAAAGGUUUUGGACAGUGAUUUUAAACCUAACGCCAAAACGUUAAACCUUACCAUAGCCCCAUAACCUAAUACCCGGGUAUUACUUUUAGGAAGCCUGAACACCCCAAAUAUUUUUUUUUCAUUUUUCUUUUUUUUUUGGUCUAACUAACUCCAAAAGGUUGGAAAAGAGUUCCUACAAAGGUUUUGGACAGUGAUUUUAACCCUAACGCCAAAACCCUUAAACCUUUCCCUAGUCCCAAAACCUAAUACACGGGUAUUACUUUCAGGGAGCCCGAAAACCCCCAAUAAUAUUUUUUUCUUUUUUCAUAUUUUUUGGUCUAACUAACUCCAAAAGGUUGGAAAAGAGUUCCUACAAAGGUUUUGGACAGUGAUUUUAACCCUAACGCCAAAAACCUUAAACCUUACCCUAGCCUUGAAAUCUAAUACCUGGGUAUGACAUUCAGGAAGCCCGUAAACCCCAAAUAUUUUUUUUUCAUUUUACAUUUUUGUUGGUGUAACCAACUCCAAAAGGUUGGAAAAGAGUUCCUACAAAGGUUUUGGACAGUGAUUUUAACCCUAAUGCCAAAAAACUUAAACCUUACCCUAGCCUCAAAAUCUAAUACCCGGGUAUUACAUUCAGGAACCCCGAAAACCCCAAAUAUUGUUUUUUAAUUUUUCAUUUUUUUUUGGUCUAACUAACUCCAAAAGGUUGGAAAAGAGUUCCUACAAAGGUUUUGGACAGUGAUUUUAACCCUAACGCCAAAAAACUUAAACCUUACCAUAGCCCCAUAACCUAAUACCCGGGUAUUACUUUUAGGAAGCCUGAACACCCCAAAUAUAUUUUUUUUCAUUUUUCUUUUUUUUUUGGUCUAACCAACUCCAAAAGGUUGUUAAAGAGUUCCUACAAAGGUUUUGGACAGUGAUUUUAACCCUAAUGCCAAAAACCUUAAACCUUACCAUAGCCCCAUAACCUAAUACCCAGGUAUUACUUUUAGGAAGCCUGAACACCCCAAAUAUUUUUUUUUCAUUUUUCUUUUUUUUUUGGUCUAACUAACUCCAAAAGGUUGGAAAAGAGUUCCUACAAAGGUUUUGGACAGUGAUUUUAACCCUAACGCCAAAAAACUUAAACCUUACCCUGGCCUUAAAAUCUAAUACCCGGGUAUUACAUUCAGGAAGCCCGUAAACCCCAAAUAUUUUUUUUUUCAUUUUUCAUUCUUUUUUUGGUCUAACUAACUCCAAAAGGUUGAAAAAGAGUUCCUACAAAGGUUUUGGACAGUGAUUUCAACCCUAACGCCAAAAACCUUAAACCUUACCCUAGCCCCAUAACCUAAUACCCGGGUAUUACUUUUAGGAAGCCUGAACACCCCAAAUAUUUUUUUUUCAUUUUUCUUUUUUUUUUUGGUCUAACUAACUCCAAAAGGUUGGAAAAGAGUUCCUACAAAGGUUUUGGACAGUGAUUUUAACCCUAACGCCAAAAACCUUAAACCUUUCCCUAGUCCCAAAACCUAAUACACGGGUAUUACUUUCAGGGAGCCCGAAAACCCCCAAUAAAAUUUUUUUCUUUUUUCAUAUUUUUUGGUCUAACUAACUCCAAAAGGUUGGAAAAGAGUUCCUACAAAGGUUUUGGACAGUGAUUUUAACCCUAACACCAAAAACCUUAAACCUUACCCUAGCCUCAAAAUCUAAUACCCGGGUAUUACAUUCAGGAAGUCCGAACACCCCAAAUAUUUUUUUUUUUCAUUUUACAUUUUUUUUGGUGUAACCAACUCCAAAAGGUUGGAAAAGAGUUCCUACAAAGGUUUUGGACAGUGAUUUUAACCCUAACGCCAAAAACCUUAAACCUUACCAUAGCCCCAUAACCUAAUACCCAGGUAUUACUUUUAGGAAGCCUGAACACCCCAUAUAUUUUUUUUUUCAUUUUUCUUUUUUUUUUGGUCUAACUAAAUCCAAAAGGUUGUUAAAGAGUUCCUACAAAGGUUUUGGACAGUGAUUUUAAACCUAACGCCAAAACGUUAAACCUUACCAUAGCCCCAUAACCUAAUACCCGGGUAUUACUUUUAGGAAGCCUGAACACCCCAAAUAUUUUUUUUUUCAUUUUUCUUUUUUUUUUGGUCUAACUAACUCCAAAAGGUUGGAAAAGUGUUCCUACAAAGGUUUUGGACAGUGAUUUUAACCCUAACGCCAAAACCCUUAAACCUUUCCCUAGUCCCAAAACCUAAUACACGGGUAUUACUUUCAGGGAGCCCGAAAACCCCCAAUAAUAUUUUUUUCUUUUUUCAUAUUUUUUGGUCUAACUAACUCCAAAAGGUUGGAAAAGAGUUCCUACAAAGGUUUUGGACAGUGAUUUUAACCCUAAUGCCAAAAAACUUAAACCUUACCCUGGCCUUAAAAUCUAAUACCCGGGUAUUACAUUAAGGAAGCCCGGAAACCCCAAAUAUUUUUUUUUCAUUUUUCAUUUUUUUUUGGUCGAACUAACUCCAAAAGGUUGAAAAAGAGUUCCUACAAAGGUUUUGGACAGUGAUUUUAACCCUAACGCCAAAAACCUUAAACCUUACCAUAGCCCCAUAACCUAAUACACGGGUAUUACUUUUAGGAAGCCUGAACACCCCAAAUAUUUUUUUUUCAUUUUUCUUUUUUUUUGGUCUAACCAACUCCAAAAGGUUGGAAAAGAGUUCCUACAAAGGUUUUGGACAGUGAUUUUAACCCUAAUGCCAAAAAACUGAAACCUUACCCUGGCCUUAAAAUGUAAUACCCGGGUAUUACAUUCAGGAAGCCCGAACACCCCAAGUUUUUUUUUUUUUCAUUUUACAUUUUUUUUGGUGUAACCAACUCCAAAAGGUUGGAAAAGAGUUCCUACAAAGGUUUUGGACAGUGAUUUUAACCCUAACGCCAAAAACCUUAAACCUUUCCCUAGUCCCAAAACCUAAUACCCGGGUAUUACCUUCAGGAAGCCCGAACACCCCAAAUAUUUUUUUUUCAUUUUACAUUUUUGUUGGUGUAACCAACUCCAAAAGGUUGGAAAAGAGUUCCUACAAAGGUUUUGGACAGUGAUUUUAACCCUAACGCCAAAAACCUUAAACCUUACCCUAGCCUUAAAAUCUAAUACCCGGGUAUUACCUUCAGGAAGCCCGAACACCCAUAAUAUUUUUUUCUUUAUUUUACAUUUUUGUUGGUGUAACCAACUCCAAAAGGUUGGAAAAGAGUUCCUACAAAGGUUUUGGACAGUGAUUUUAACCCUAACGCCAAAAACCUUAAAACUUACCAUAGCCCCAUAACCUAAUUCCCGGGUAUUACCUUCAGGAAGCCCGAACACCCCAAAUAUUUUUUUUUCAUUUUUCAUUUUUUUUUGGUCUAACUAACUCCAAAAGGUUGGAAAAGAGUUCCUACAAAGGUUUUGGACAGUGAUUUUAACCCUAACGCCAAAACGUUAAACCUUACCAUAGCCCCAUAACCUAAUACCCGGGUAUUACUUUUAGGAAGCCUGAACACCCCAAAUAUUUUUUUUUUCAUUUUUCUUUUUUUUUGGUCUAACUAACUCCAAAAGGUUGGAAAAGAGUUCCUACAAAGGUUUUGGACAGUGAUUUUAACCCUAACACAAAAAACCUUAAACCUUACCCUAGCCUUGAAAUCUAAUACCCGGGUAUUACCUUCAGGAAGCCUGAACACCCCAAAUAUUUUUUUCUUCAUUUUACAUUUUUGUUGGUGUAACCAACUCCAAAAGGUUGGAAAAGAGUUCCUACAAAGGUUUUGGACAGUGAUUUUAACCCUAAUGCCAAAAACUUAAACCUUACCCUAGCCUUAAAAUCUAAUACCCGGGUAUUACAUUCAGGAAGCCCGAACACCCCAAAUAUUUUUUUUUUCAUUUUACAUUUUUUUUGGUGUAACCAACUCCAAAAGGUUGGAAAAGAGUUCCUACAAAGGUUUUGGACAGUGAUUUUAACCCUAACGCCAAAAACCUUAAACCUUACCAUAGCCCCAUAACCUAAUACCCAGGUAAUACUUUUAGGAAGCCUGAACACCCCAUAUAUUUUUUUUUCAUUUUUCUUUUUUUUUUUGGUCUAACUAAAUCCAAAAGGUUGUUAAAGAGUUCCUACAAAGGUUUUGGACAGUGAUUUUAAACCUAACGCCAAAACGUUAAACCUUACCAUAGCCCCAUAACCUAAUACCCGGGUAUUACUUUUAGGAAGCCUGAACACCCCAAAUAUUUUUUUUUCAUUUUUCUUUUUUUUUGGUCUAACUAACUCCAAAAGGUUGGAAAAGAGUUCCUACAAAGGUUUUGGACAGUGAUUUUAACCCUAACGCCAAAAACCUUAAACCUUUCCCUAGUCCCAAAACCUAAUACACGGGUAUUACUUUCAGGGAGCCCGAAAACCCCCAAUAAUAUUUUUUUCUUUUUUCAUAUUUUUUGGUCUAACUAACUCCAAAAGGUUGGAAAAGAGUUCCUACAAAGGUUUUGGACAGUGAUUUUAACCCUAACGCCAAAAACCUUAAACCUUACCCUAGCCUUGAAAUCUAAUACCUGGGUAUUACAUUCAGGAAGCCCGAAAACCCCAAAUAUUUUUUUUCAUUUUACAUUUUUGUUGGUGUAACCAACUCCAAAAGGUUGGAAAAGAGUUCCUACAAAGGUUUUGGACAGUGAUUUUAACCCUAACGCCAAAAAACUUAAACCUUACCCUGGCCUUAAAAUCUAAUACCCGGGUAUUACAUUCAGGAAGCCCGUAAACCCCAAAUAUUUUUUUUUUCAUUUUUCAUUCUUUUUUUGGUCUAACUAACUCCAAAAGGUUGAAAAAGAGUUCCUACAAAGGUUUUGGACAGUGAUUUCAACCCUAACGCCAAAAACCUUAAACCUUACCCUAGCCCCAUAACCUAAUACCCGGGUAUUACUUUUAGGAAGCCUGAACACCCCAAAUAUUUUUUUUUCAUUUUUCUUUUUUUUUGGUCUAACUAACUCCAAAAGGUUGGAAAAGAGUUCCUACAAAGGUUUUGGACAGUGAUUUUAACCCUAACACAAAAAACCUUAAACCUUACCCUAGCCUUGAAAUCUAAUACCCGGGUAUUACCUUCAGGAAGCCUGAACACCCCAAAUAUUUUUUUCUUCAUUUUACAUUUUUGUUGGUGUAACCAACUCCAAAAGGUUGGAAAAGAGUUCCUACAAAGGUUUUGGACAGUGAUUUUAACCCUAAUGCCAAAAAACUUAAACCUUACCCUAGCCUCAAAAUCUAAUACCCGGGUAUUACAUUCAGGAAGUCCGAACACCCCAAAUAUUUUUUUUUUUCAUUUUACAUUUUUUUUGGUCCAACCAACUCCAAAAGGUUGGAAAAGAGUUCCUACAAAGGUUUUGGACAGUGAUUUUAACCCUAACGCCAAAAACCUUAAACCUUACCAUAGCCCCAUAACCUAAUACCCAGGUAUUACUUUUAGGAAGCCUGAACACCCCAUAUAUUUUUUUUUCAUUUUUCUUUUUUUUUUGGUCUAACUAAAUCCAAAAGGUUGUUAAAGAGUUCCUACAAAGGUUUUGGACAGUGAUUUUAAACCUAACGCCAAAAACGUUAAACCUUACCAUAGCCCCAUAACCUAAUACCCGGGUAUUACUUUUAGGAAGCCUGAACACCCCAAAUAUUUUUUUUUCAUUUUUCUUUUUUUUUUGGUCUAACUAACUCCAAAAGGUUGGAAAAGAGUUCCUACAAAGGUUUUGGACAGUGAUUUUAACCCUAACGCCAAAACCCUUAAACCUUUCCCUAGUCCCAAAACCUAAUACACGGGUAUUACUUUCAGGGAGCCCGAAAACCCCCAAUAAUAUUUUUUUCUUUUUUCAUAUUUUUUGGUCUAACUAACUCCAAAAGGUUGGAAAAGAGUUCCUACAAAGGUUUUGGACAGUGAUUUUAACCCUAACGCCAAAAACCUUAAACCUUACCCUAGCCUUAAAUCUAAUACCCGGGUAUUACAUUCAGGAAGCCUGAACACCCCAAAUAUUUUUUUUUCAUUUUACAUUUUUGUUGGUGUAACCAACUCCAAAAGGUUGGAAAAGAGUUCCUACAAAGGUUUUGGACAGUGAUUUUAACCCUAAUGCCAAAAAACUUAAACCUUACCCUAGCCUCAAAAUCUAAUACCCGGGUAUUACAUUCAGGAACCCCGAAAACCCCAAAUAUUGUUUUUUAAUUUUUCAUUUUUUUUGGUCUAACUAACUCCAAAAGGUUGGAAAAGAGUUCCUACAAAGGUUUUGGACAGUGAUUUUAACCCUAACGCCAAAAACCUUAAACCUUACCAUAGCCCCAUAACCUAAUACCCGGGUAUUACUUUUAGGAAGCCUGAACACCCCAAAUAUAUUUUUUUUCAUUUUUCUUUUUUUUUUGGUCUAACCAACUCCAAAAGGUUGUUAAAGAGUUCCUACAAAGGUUUUGGACAGUGAUUUUAACCCUAAUGCCAAAAACCUUAAACCUUACCAUAGCCCCAUAACCUAAUACCCAGGUAUUACUUUUAGGAAGCCUGAACACCCCAAAUAUUUUUUUUUCAUUUUUCUUUUUUUUUUGGUCUAACUAACUCCAAAAGGUUGGAAAAGAGUUCCUACAAAGGUUUUGGACAGUGAUUUUAACCCUAACGCCAAAAAACUUAAACCUUACCCUGGCCUUAAAAUCUAAUACCCGGGUAUUACAUUCAGGAAGCCCGUGAACCCCAAAUAUUUUUUUUUUCAUUUUUCAUUCUUUUUUUGGUCUAACUAACUCCAAAAGGUUGAAAAAGAGUUCCUACAAAGGUUUUGGACAGUGAUUUCAACCCUAACGCCAAAAACCUUAAACCUUACCCUAGCCCCAUAACCUAAUACCCGGGUAUUACUUUUAGGAAGCCUGAACACCCCAUAUAUUUUUUUUCAUUUUUCUUUUUUUUUUUUGGUCUAACUAACUCCAAAAGGUUGGAAAAGAGUUCCUACAAAGGUUUUGGACAGUGAUUUUAACCCUAACGCCAAAAACCUUAAACCUUUCCCUAGUCCCAAAACCUAAUACACGGGUAUUAAUUUCAGGGAGCCCGAAAACCCCCAAUAAAAUUUUUUUCUUUUUUCAUAUUUUUUGGUCUAACUAACUCCAAAAGGUUGGAAAAGAGUUCCUACAAAGGUUUUGGACAGUGAUUUUAACCCUAACACCAAAAACCUUAAACCUUACCCUAGCCUCAAAAUCUAAUACCCGGGUAUUACAUUCAGGAAGUCCGAACACCCCAAAUAUUUUUUUUUUUCAUUUUACAUUUUUUUUGGUGUAACCAACUCCAAAAGGUUGGAAAAGAGUUCCUACAAAGGUUUUGGACAGUGAUUUUAACCCUAACGCCAAAAACCUUAAACCUUACCAUAGCCCCAUAACCUAAUACCCAGGUAUUACUUUUAGGAAGCCUGAACACCCCAUAUAUUUUUUUUUCAUUUUUCUUUUUUUUUUGGUCUAACUAAAUCCAAAAGGUUGUUAAAGAGUUCCUACAAAGGUUUUGGACAGUGAUUUUAAACCUUACGCCAAAACGUUAAACCUUACCAUAGCCCCAUAACCUAAUACCCGGGUAUUACUUUUAGGAAGCCUGAACACCCCAAAUAUUUUUUUUUUCAUUUUUCUUUUUUUUUUGGUCUAACUAACUCCAAAAGGUUGGAAAAGUGUUCCUACAAAGGUUUUGGACAGUGAUUUUAACCCUAACGCCAAAACCCUUAAACCUUUCCCUAGUCCCAAAACCUAAUACACGGGUAUUACUUUCAGGGAGCCCGAAAACCCCCAAUAAUAUUUUUUUCUUUUUUCAUAUUUUUUGGUCUAACUAACUCCAAAAGGUUGGAAAAGAGUUCCUACAAAGGUUUUGGACAGUGAUUUUAACCCUAAUGCCAAAAAACUUAAACCUUACCCUGGCCUUAAAAUCUAAUACCCGGGUAUUACAUUAAGGAAGCCCGAACACCCCAAAUAUUUUUUUCAUUUUUCAUUUUUUUUUGGUCUAACUAACUCCAAAAGGUUGGAAAAGAGUUCCUACAAAGGUUUUGGACAGUGAUUUUAACCCUAACGCCAAAAACCUUAAACCUUACCAUAGCCCCAUAACCUAAUACACGGGUAUUACUUUUAGGAAGCCUGAACACCCCAAAUAUUUUUUUUUCAUUUUUCUUUUUUUUUGGUCUAACCAACUCCAAAAGGUUGGAAAAGAGUUCCUACAAAGGUUUUGGACAGUGAUUUUAACCCUAAUGCCAAAAAACUGAAACCUUACCCUGGCCUUAAAAUGUAAUACCCGGGUAUUACAUUCAGGAAGCCCGAACACCCCAAAUUUUUUUUUUUCAUUUUACAUUUUUUUUGGUGUAACCAACUCCAAAAGGUUGGAAAAGAGUUCCUACAAAGGUUUUGGACAGUGAUUUUAACCCUAACGCCAAAAACCUUAAACCUUUCCCUAGUCCCAAAACCUAAUACCCGGGUAUUACCUUCAGGAAGCCCGAACACCCCAAAUAUUUUUUUUUCAUUUUACAUUUUUGUUGGUGUAACCAACUCCAAAAGGUUGGAAAAGAGUUCCUACAAAGGUUUUGGACAGUGAUUUUAACCCUAACGCCAAAAACCUUAAACCUUACCCUAGCCUUAAAAUCUAAUACCCGGGUAUUACCUUCAGGAAGCCCGAACACCCAUAAUAUUUUUUUCUUUAUUUUACAUUUUUGUUGGUGUAACCAACUCCAAAAGGUUGGAAAAGAGUUCCUACAAAGGUUUUGGACAGUGAUUUUAACCCUAACGCCAAAAACCUUAAAACUUACCAUAGCCCCAUAACCUAAUUCCCGGGUAUUACCUUCAGGAAGCCCGAACACCCCAAAUAUUUUUUUUUCAUUUUUCAUUUUUUUUGGUCUAACUAACUCCAAAAGGUUGGAAAAGAGUUCCUACAAAGGUUUUGGACAGUGAUUUUAACCCUAACGCCAAAAACCUUAAACCUUACCCUAGCCUUAAAAUCUAAUACCCGGGUAUUACAUUCAGGAACCCCGAAAACCCCAAAUAUUGUUUUUUAGUUUUUCAUUUUUUUUUGGUCUAACUAACUCCAAAAGGUUGGAAAAGAGUUCCUACAAAGGUUUUGGACAGUGAUUUUAACCCUAACGCCGAAAAACUUAAACCUUACCCUGGCAUUAAAAUCUAAUACCCGGGUAUUACAUUAAGGAAGCCUGAACACCCCAAAUAUUUUUUUUUCAUUUUUCUUUUUUUUUGGUCUAACUAACUCCAAAAGGUUGGAAAAGAGUUCCUACAAAGGAUUUGGACAGUGAUUUUAACCCUAACGCCAAAAACCUUAAACCUUUCCCUAGUCCCAAAACCGAAUCCCCGGGUAUUACUUCCAGGGAGCCCGAAAACCACCAAUAAUAUUUUUUUUCUUUUUUCAUAUUUUUUGGUCUAACUAACUCCAAAAGGUUGGAAAAGAGUUCCUACAAAGGUUUUGGACAGUGAUUUUAACCCUAAUGCCAAAAAACUUAAACCUUACCCUGGCCUUAAAAUCUAAUACCCGGGUAUUACAUUAAGGAAGCCCGGAAACCCCAAAUAUUUUUUUUUCAUUUUUCAUUUUUUUUUGGUCGAACUAACUCCAAAAGGUUGGAAAAGAGUUCCUACAAAGGUUUUGGACAGUGAUUUUAAACCUAACGCCAAAAACCUUAAACCUUACCAUAGCCCCAUAACCUAAUACCCGGGUAUUACUUUUAGGAAGCCUGAACACCCCAAAUAUUUUUUUUUCAUUUUUCAUUUUUUUUUGGUCGAACUAACUCCAAAAGGUUGGAAAAGAGUUCCUACAAAGGUUUUGGACAGUGAUUUUGACCCUAACGCCAAAAACCUUAAACCUUUCCCUAGUCCCAAAACCUAAUACCCGGGUAUUACUUUCAGGGAGCCCGAAAACCCCCAAUAAUUUUUUUUCUUUUUUCAUUUUUUUUGGUCUAACUAACUCCAAAAGGUUGGAAAAGAGUUCCUACAAAGGUUUUGGACAGUGAUUUUAACCCUAACGCCAAAAACCUUAAACCUUACCCUAGCCCCAUAACCUAAUACCCAGGUAUUACUUUUAGGAAGCCUGAACACCCCAAUAAUUUUUUUUCAUUUUUCUUUUUUUUUUUGGUCUAACUAACUCCAAAAGGUUGGAAAAGAGUUCCUACAAAGGUUUUGGACAGUGAUUUUAACCCUAAUGCCAAAAAACUUAAACCUUACCCUGGCCUUAAAAUCUAAUACCCGGGUAUUACAUUCAGGAAGCCCGGAAACCCCAAAUAUUUUUUUUUUCAUUUUUCAUUCUUUUUUUGGUCUAACCAACUCCAAAAGGUUGGAAAAGAGUUCCUACAAAGGUUUUGGACAGUGAUUUUAACCCUAAAGCCAAAAACCUUAAACCUUACCCUAGCCUUAAAAUCUAAUACCCUGGUAUUACCUUCAGGAAGCCUGAACACCCCAAAUAUUUUUUUCUUCAUUUUACAUUUUUGUUGGUGUAACCAACUCCAAAAGGUUGGAAAAGAGUUCCUACAAAGGUUUUGGACAGUGAUUUUAACCCUAACGCCAAAAAACUUAAACCUUACCAUAGCCCCAAAACCUAAUACCCGGGUAUUACUUUCAGGGAGCCCGAAAACCCCCAAUAAUAUUUUUUUCUUUUUUCAUAUUUUUUGGUCUAACUAACUCCAAAAGGUUGGAAAAGAGUUCCUACAAAGGUUUUGGACAGUGAUUUUAACCCUAACGCCAAAAAACUUAAACCUUUCCCUGGCCUUAAAAUCUAAUACCCGGGUAUUACAUUCAGGAAGCCCGUAAACCCCAAAUAUUUUUUUUUUCAUUUUUCUUUUUUUUUUUGGUCUAACUAACUCCAAAAGGUUGAAAAAGAGUUCCUACAAAGGUUUUGGACAGUGAUUUUAAACCUAACGCCAAAACGUUAAACCUUACCAUAGCCCCAUAACCUAAUACCCGGGUAUUAGUUUUAGGAAGCCUGAACACCCCAAAUAUUUUUUUUUCAUUUUUCUUUUUUUUUUU
rnacentral:lncRNA from 1 species